GGUGACGUCACCGCGUGACGACCCCGGUGAUCUGGACGGUGGCGGGGGUCUGGUUUUGUCUGAUACCCCUGAGUUGUUUACCUUUGUACCUCUGGAGCAACAGCCAGCCAAAGGCCCGUAGAUUUUCUUUCGCUGGGCCCAGCAAGUGAGCCAAUGGCUUUUGGUUUUUACUUUCUUACUCCUGGCAACCAAGAUGUCUCUUCCAAAUGUCCCCUUCAUUAAUGAUGGCCUGGGCCACAGAACGCACAGCCAUUGCUUUCAAACCCACAGCAUUUGGUGUCCAGCUCCUGCUCUCCCCAUCAUACCUGCUGUCCAGCCUGGAAUGCAGCAAAGAUCAAUAAAAUUGAAAAAUCUCUAGCAGCAGUGACAAAGAGAAGACACAGAUUACCGGUAUUAGGAAUGAAACAGGAUAUCACUGCAGGCUCUGCAGCCAUGGAAAGUAUCAUAAGGGAGUACUACAAACACCUUUACACAUUUAAAUUUGACAACUUACAUGAAGUAGAUUGAUUCCUUGAAAAACACAAACUACUACAAUGUGCCUAAUGCAAAAUAGAUAAUUUGAAUAUCCCUGUAACCAUUAAGAUAAUUAAACUCGCAGUUUAAAAACCUUCAAAAAGAAA